GCUUACACAUGCAGUCGAACGGAAACGAUACUAGCUUGCUAGUAGGCGUCGAGUGGCGGACGGGUGAGUAACGCGUAGGAAUCUACCUGAUAGUGGGGGAUAGCCCGAAGAAAUUCGGAUUAAUACCGCAUAAUCUAUUCGUAGUAAAGUGGGGGACUUUCGAGCCUCACGCUAUCAGAUGAGCCUGCGUAAGAUUAGCUUGUUGGUAGGGUAAAAGCCUACCAAGGCGACGAUCUUUAGCUGGUCUGAGAGGAUGAUCAGCCACAUCGGGACUGAGACACGGCCCGAACUCCUACGGGAGGCAGCAGUGGGGAAUAUUGGACAAUGGGGGCAACCCUGAUCCAGCAAUACCGCGUGUGUGAAGAAGGCCUGAGGGUUGUAAAGCACUUUCAAUUGUGAAGAAAAGUUAGCGGUUAAUAACCGUUAGCCUUGACGUUAACUUUAGAAGAAGCACCGGCUAACUCCGUGCCAGCAGCCGCGGUAAUACGGAGGGUGCAAGCGUUAAUCGGAAUUACUGGGCGUAAAGCGUGCGUAGGCGGUUUAUUAAGUCAGAUGUGAAAGCCCCGGGCUUAACCUGGGAACUGCAUUUGAAACUGGUCAACUAGAGUAUGGUAGAGGAAAGUGGAAUUUCUGGUGUAGCGGUGAAAUGCGUAGAUAUCAGAAGGAACAUCAAUGGCGAAGGCAGCUUUCUGGACCAAUACUGACGCUGAGGUACGAAAGCGUGGGUAGCAAACAGGAUUAGAUACCCUGGUAGUCCACGCCGUAAACGAUGAUANCUAGCCGUUGGGGGGAUUUACCCUUUAGUGGCGAAGCUAACGCGUUAAGUUAUCCGCCUGGGGAGUACGGCCGCAAGGUUAAAACUCAAAGGAAUUGACGGGGACCCGCACAAGCGGUGGAGCAUGUGGUUUAAUUCGAUGCAACGCGAGAACCUUACCUGGUCUUGACAUCCUGCGAACUUUCUAGAAAUAGAUUGGUGCCUUCGGGAAC
rnacentral:rRNA from 1 species